rnacentral:rRNA from 1 species
AGCUCCAAUAGCGUAUAUUAAAGUUGUUGCAGUUAAAAAGCUCGUAGUUGGAUUUCUGGCAGGGCGCCGAGCACCACUGCUGUGUGUGCGAGGACCCGGCCAUCCUUCUGUCAACUUUCGGUUGUGAUUCAUUUCACGCCAAAGCGAUCAGAUAAUUUACCUUGAGAAAAUUAGAGUGUUUCAGGCAGGCUUAGCCGGAAUACAUUAGCAUGGAAUAAUUGAAUAGGACUACUGUCCCGUUGUUGGUUACGUGGAUAGGAGUAAUGAUUAAUAGGGAUAGUUGGGGGCAUUAGUAUUUAUUAGCUAGAGGUGGAAUUCUCUAAUUUGAUAAAGACUAACUUAUGCGAAAGCAUUUGCCAAGGAUGUUUUCA